rnacentral:tRNA from 1 species
GGAGAGGUGGCUGAGUGGUUUAAGGUGCUCGCCUGGAAAGCGAGUGUGCGGUAAUACCGCACCGGGGGUUCGAAUCCCCCCCUCUCCGCCA